UUAAUCAAAACCAAAAAGAGGUAUAUCACUGUUAAUGAUACCAUUAGGAAACCCUUGAUUAAA
rnacentral:tRNA from 1 species